ensembl:lncRNA
GUACCUGUCAUGUGAUUUACACAGUGAAUGGCCCUGCUUUUGGAGCAAGUUAAUGUUAUAAUAUCCCCAUUUAUAUUCAGAACAGUCAACACUUUUGAGCUCUCAGAAUAAUAAAAGCACCUGCAUUUAAUAUACAUGGAAGAAUGGAAAGGCAAAUAGCAGAUAAGGCACAAUCAGGGAUUGAACUCGGGACCUUGGGCUUGUGAGGCAGGCGGUGGAACCAUUGAGCUAAAUCCCUGGUCUGGCCUCAAACUUGUGAUCCACCUGCCUCAGCCUCCCAAGUACCUAGGAUUACAGACAUCUCCAAAUUUUAGUGAAAUCUGCUCGACACUUCUGAAUGCCUCUACGUCUCCAUGAUGGAUCAGAAAUAUGCAUAUCUCUACAAGGAUAGCAUGGAAGAAAAGAACUGUCUCUAGGGGCACACAGGUGGCUGCUCUGUGGACAUGUGCCAUCCGAACACGUGAGUAGUGUGGCUCCCAGUGCACUCACUGCCUCCCCUCAUUCAUCCCCACUCAAGAAAUCCUGCUGGGAUGUAAGCGAGUGCUUGGCUUUACCAGAAUCACUUUGAAUCUAUUUUAAUUUAUACCAAAAGGCAAAAGAGAAACCAAUUAUGAAUUUUAGUGUUUUUUCUUUUCUUUUUUCAAUAGUAAUGAAAUACUUGUCAUUUACUUCACAGCCGGUCAAGACAACUAAGUAUGCCUUGAUGUGAGAUUUUUUUGAACUGAUGUUUGAAAAUUUGAUUUCAAACCUCUGGGAAGAAUUUUGUUGUUUGUGUAACUUUGAAGGAAGAAGUAAAUGGUCAUAGUCGAGAAUGCAAAAUGGCAAUACUAUGGGAGAGGACCUCAUGGAAAUACUAAUUGCAGUGAAGCCUACAUUGAUACUUGUUAGGUUCCAGACAACAUAAGCUAAUUCUGGCUAGAAUUUAUUGAUGAAGACUCAGAUCUUGAAAUCUGAAUUUAAAACAACCAGCUUUUGGAUGAGCCAGACCAAGGACCCCCAGGGACCUUAGAAGCAGAAGAUAAUGGACCUUUUCUAUAGAACAUUGGACUCUUUGUUUCUCACCUUUAGUGGCCUGAUGUCAAAUGGGUCAUCUUAGUCAAGAAGGCAGGCAGGACCAUGUAUUACAAGCCUAAUUGCUGGGGAUUUUUCUGUAUCUGAAGCAAUUAUAGGCAAAGGGAAUGUUUAGAAGUAAUAAAAUUUUAAGACUUUAAGGGUGAAUGACAGAUAAACUACACAUAUUUAAAGUAUAUAAUUUGGUAUAUUUUGACAUGUGUGUAUACACACCAGGAAACUAUCACCAUAAUGAAGAAAAUGAAGAUAUCCAUAUCUCUGCUGGUUUCCUUUCGUCCUUUUUUCUUUCUUCUCUCUCAGUCCUGUGUCCCUCUUCCUGUACCCAGGCAUCAGCUGACCUGCUUCUGUCAUUGUGGAUUAGUUUGCACUUUCUAGAAUUUUACUUAAAUGGGAUCAUAAGUUCUUUUCUGACUUUUUUCAUUCAGUGUAAUUAUUUUGAGACUUAUCCAUGCUGUAGUAUUUAUCAGUACCUUAUUGCUUUUUAUGGGUGAUUAAUGUUCCAUUGGCUGGCUAUACUAUAGUUUAUUCAUUAAGCUGUUGAUGACAUUAGGGUUCUAGUUUGAGGCUAUUACUGAUAAAGUUGGUAUGAAUAUUUACAUGCAAGUGUUUUCUUUUAGACAUUUGUUUUCAUUUCUCUUGAGUAAAACCUAGGAGUAGAAUGGCCUGGUAAUCCUGUAGGUGGGUGUUUUACUUUUUCAUCAACUGCCAAGAAGUUUUUCAAAGUGGUUGUAUAAUUUUCUAUUCCUACUGGCAACAUGUGAGAGUUCUGGUUCUCUAUCAUCACUAGCACUUGGUUAUAUCCAGGACUUACUUUUUUUUUAUUAAGUUUAUUGGUACAUUUUAGGUAUACAAUACAGUUACUUUCACCAUUGGUAUCUUGUACCUUUACAUGAUAUAUAUUGGUUCUUAUUUUUUCCCCCUUCUCCUGCCAUCCCUUCAACCCCUCCACCCUUCCCUAUUUACAAAGACUUUGUUUCCAUUUUUUCAUUUUCUCAUAAUUUUUCCUUUCCCUUCUUUCCUUUCCCCUACCCCUCCCACUUUCCCUUCCUCCUUUGAACCUUUUCUUCCUAUUUCACGUUAUCAAUCAUACAUUUUGAUCCUUAUUUAUACUUUUAGUUUCUCACACCAGAGAAACUAUUUGGUAUUUACAUAUGCAUGCCCUGUUUAUUUCACUUAAGAGUUGCAUAUCGAGGCCAUACUUUAAGUGAAAUAAAUGGGACACAUGUGUAAAUAGCGAAUAGUUUCUGUAGUGUGAGAAACUGAUAGUGUAAAUAAGAGUUAAAAUGAUUAAAAUGAAUAAUUGAUAAUUUGAAAUAGGAAGAAAGGUCCAAAGACGAAGGAG